rnacentral:rRNA from 1 species
GGAGCUUGCUCCUUUGACGUUAGCGGCGGACGGGUGAGUAACACGUGGGUAACCUACCUAUAAGACUGGAAUAACUCCGGGAAACCGGGGCUAAUGCCGGAUAAUAUUUAGAACCGCAUGGUUCUAAAGUGAAAGAUGGUUUUGCUAUCACUUAUAGAUGGACCCGCGCCGUAUUAGCUAGUUGGUGGGGUAAUGGCUUACCAAGGCAACGAUACGUAGCCGACCUGAGAGGGUGAUCGGCCACACUGGAACUGAGACACGGUCCAGACUCCUACGGGAGGCAGCAGUAGGGAAUCUUCCGCAAUGGGCGAAAGCCUGACGGAGCAACGCCGCGUGAGUGAUGAAGGUCUUCGGAUCGUAAAACUCUGUUAUUAGGGAAGAACAAAUGUGUAAGUAACUGUGCACGUCUUGACGGUACCUAAUCAGAAAGCCACGGCUAACUACGUGCCAGCAGCCGCGGUAAUACGUAGGUGGCAAGCGUUAUCCGGAAUUAUUGGGCGUAAAGCGCGCGUAGGCGGUUUCUUAAGUCUGAUGUGAAAGCCCACGGCUCAACCGUGGAGGGUCAUUGGAAACUGGGAAACUUGAGUGCAGAAGAGGAAAGUGGAAUUCCAUGUGUAGCGGUGAAAUGCGCAGAGAUAUGGAGGAACACCAGUGGCGAAGGCGACUUUCUGGUCUGUAACUGACGCUGAUGUGCGAAAGCGUGGGGAUCAAACAGGAUUAGAUACCCUGGUAGUCCACGCCGUAAACGAUGAGUGCUAAGUGUUAGGGGGGUUUCCGCCCCUUAGUGCUGCAGCUAACGCAUUAAGCACUCCGCCUGGGGAGUACGACCGCAAGGUUGAAACUCAAAGGAAUUGACGGGGACCCGCACAAGCGGUGGAGCAUGUGGUUUAAUUCGAAGCAACGCGAAGAACCUUACCAAAUCUUGACAUCCUUUGACAACUCUAGAGAUAGAGUCUUCCCCUUCGGGGGACAAAGUGACAGGUGGUGCAUGGUUGUCGUCAGCUCGUGUCGUGAGAUGUUGGGUUAAGUCCCGCAACGAGCGCAACCCUUAAGCUUAGUUGCCAGCAUUAAGUUGGGCACUCUAAGUUGACUGCCGGUGACAAACCGGAGGAAGGUGGGGAUGACGUCAAAUCAUCAUGCCCCUUAUGAUUUGGGCUACACACGUGCUACAAUGGACAAUACAAAGGGCAGCUAAACCGCGAGGUCAUGCAAAUCCCAUAAAGUUGUUCUCAGUUCGGAUUGUAGUCUGCAACUCGACUACAUGAAGCUGGAAUCGCUAGUAAUCGUAGAUCAGCAUGCUACGGUGAAUACGUUCCCGGGUCUUGUACACACCGCCCGUCACACCACGAGAGUCUGUAACACCCGAAGCCGGUGGAGUAACCAU